UACGUAGGGACCGAGCGUUGUCCGGAAUCAUUGGGCGUAAAGAGCGUGUAGGCGGCUAUUUAAGUCCUGCGUGAAAUCCUGCGGCUCAACCGCAGACGGUCGUGGGAAACUGGAUGGCUAGAGUGCGGGAGAGGAGAGUGGAAUUCCCGGUGUAGCGGUGAAAUGCGCAGAUAUCGGGAAGAACACCCGUGGCGAAGGCGGCUCACUGGGUCUCUUCUGACGCUGAGGCACGAAAGCUAGGGUAGCGAACGGG
rnacentral:rRNA from 1 species